UAUCUAAACGGAGAAAUUCAAUACUACCCAAAAAGUAGUGUGCACUUUUCUCUUAGUAAGACGCCGUGAUUCAUUAGAAAUUGGUACGUACCGAACGUACAUUGGGUCAUCAAUAGGCCGAUGUGAAGUUUAUUCGGAACAAAUGGCGUGAUCUUUUACGGUUGCGUGUAUUGUCUGGUAAGCGCGUCGAUACCUGUAAUGACUGUCUGAUGGGUUUUAAGAACGUUAUCAUUGAUGUUACGCGCAUCACUCGCAUCACAGCGAGAACGAUAUCUGUUUGAUCAACGGCGGUUAAAUUUGGGAUACCUUUUGGACCCGUCUUGAAACACGGACCAAGGAGUCUAUCUAGUAUGCGAGUAAAUGGAUAAUUUAUGAAAUCUAUUUGCAUAAUAAACUUGACUGUUUUUCAUGGGAUUACGAUUGACAAUCAGCAAUGGUUGUCUUUCCUUCAUCCCGGGGUAUUUUUAUCAACAUAUGCUUGCAUAUGGAAAAUAUACCAUGAGCACACUGGAUACGACCCGAAAGAUGGUGAACUAUGCCUGAUCAGGUUGAAGUCAGGGGAAACCCUGAUGGAGGACCGAAGCAGUUCUGACGUGCAAAUCGAUUGUCAGAAUUGGGCAUAGGGGCGAAAGACCAAUCGAACCAUCUAG
rnacentral:rRNA from 1 species